AGGAGGUCAUUACCGAGUUAUACACUCAUCAACCCUCGUGAACAUACCUAUAACGUUGCCUCGGCGGGAACAGACGGCCCCGUAACACGGGCCGCCCCCGCCAGAGGACCCCCUAACUCUGUUUCUAUAAUGUUUCUUCUGAGUAAACAAGCAAAUAAAUUAAAACUUUCAACAACGGAUCUCUUGGCUCUGGCAUCGAUGAAGAACGCAGCGAAAUGCGAUAAGUAAUGUGAAUUGCAGAAUUCAGUGAAUCAUCGAAUCUUUGAACGCACAUUGCGCCCGCCAGUAUUCUGGCGGGCAUGCCUGUUCGAGCGUCAUUACAACCCUCAGGCCCCCGGGCCUGGCGUUGGGGAUCGGCGGAAGCCCCCUGCGGGCACAACGCCGUCCCCCAAAUACAGUGGCGGUCCCGCCGCAGCUUCCAUUGCGUAGUACUAACACCUCGCAACUGGAGAGCGGCGCGGCCACGCCGUAAAACACCCAACUUCUGAAUGUUGACCUCGAAUCAGGUAGGAAUACC
rnacentral:rRNA from 1 species